rnacentral:rRNA from 2 species
AGUGGUGGGGCAACCUGGCCCUAAUGGGUUGGGGGAUAACUCCGGGAAACCGGGGCUAAUACCGAAAAAUACAUUCCUUCUCCUGUUGGAAUGUUGAAAGAUGGUUUACGCUAUCGCUAUCGGAUGGGCCCGCGGCGCAUUAGCUAGUUGGUGAGGUAACGGCUCACCAAGGCGACGAUGCGUAGCCGACCUGAGAGGGUGAUCGGCCACACUGGGACUGAGACACGGCCCAGACUCCUACGGGAGGCAGCAGUAGGGAAUCUUCCACAAUGGGCGAAAGCCUGAUGGAGCAACGCCGCGUGAGUGAAGAAGGUUUUCGGAUCGUAAAACUCUGUUGUAAGGGAAGAACAAGUACAGUAGUAACUGGCUGUACCUUGACGGUACCUUAUUAGAAAGCCACGGCUAACUACGUGCCAGCAGCCGCGGUAAUACGUAGGUGGCAAGCGUUGUCCGGAAUUAUUGGGCGUAAAGCGCGCGCAGGUGGUCCUUUAAGUCUGAUGUGAAAGCCCACGGCUCAACCGUGGAGGGUCAUUGGAAACUGGGGGACUUGAGUGCAGAAGAGGAAAGUGGAAUUCCCAGUGUAGCGGUGAA